rnacentral:tRNA from 1 species
CAGGGAGACAACAAAAUGUUUAAUAUUAUUAUUUUGUCACCUUAGGUCGAUCGGUAUCUCACGUUUUUAAUUUAUUAAGAAUUUCAUUUCCUAAGUUUUUCUAGGUCACACCCAUUAUUUUUCCUGGGCCAUUAGCUCAGGUGGUUAGAGCGCACCCCUGAUAAGGGUGAGGUCCCUGGUUCAAGUCCAGGAUGGCCCAUAUCUCUAUGUUGGGGGUAUAGCUCAGUUGGUAGAGCGCCUGCUUUGCAAGCAGGAUGUCAGCGGUUCGAGUCCGCUUACCUCCACUGAUCACCACCUCUUCCAUAAUCGGUAGAAAGGAAAUUUUUUGAGUUGUGAUCAAAUUCUGAAAGAAUCUAGCUUCCUAAUGAAAUCAUUAAGAUGCUGGACUCAUUGAAUUAAUUUCAUUGUUUUCAGAGAACCUUGACAACUGCAUAGAUUAUUUUUAAAGACAAUAAGCAUCUUUAAUGAUGCAGAUUUAUUAUUUGUGCAAAUGCAUUAAUAACAAUUCUAUUAAGCUGAUGCUUCA